UACAGAGGGUGCAAGCGUUGUUCGGAAUUAUUGGGCGUAAAGCGCGUGUAGGCGGCCAUGCAAGUCGGGUGUGAAAGCCCUCAGCUCAACUGAGGAAGUGCGCCCGAAACUGCAAGGCUUGAGUACCGGAGAGGAUGGCGGAAUUCCCGAAGUAGAGGUGAAAUUCGUAGAUAUCGGGAGGAACACCGGUGGCGAAGGCGGCCAUCUGGACGGAUACUGACGCUGAGACGCGAAAGCGUGGGUAGCAAACAGG
rnacentral:rRNA from 1 species